UGAUAGCUCAGUUGGUAGAGCAUGGGACUCUUAAUGCCAGGAUUGUAGGUUCUAGCCCCACAUUGGGCAAAA